rnacentral:rRNA from 1 species
AGUGAACGCUGGCGGCGUGCUUAACACAUGCAAGUCGAACGAGAACGGAUUAUAGCUUGCUAUAAUCGUCAGCUAAGUGGCGCUCGGGUGAGUAAUGUAUAGGUAAUAUGCCUCUUACUAAGGGAUAACAAAUGGAAACGUUUGCUAAUACCUUAUACUCCUUAUUAACAUAAGUUAAUAAGGGAAAGAUUUAUUGGUAAGAGAUUAGCCUGUAUUGUAUCAGUUAGUUGGUGGGGUAAUGGCUUACCAAGACUAUGACACAUAACUGGUUUGAGAGGAUGAUCAGUCACACUGGAACUGAGACACGGUCCAGACUCCUACGGGAGGCAGCAGUGGGGAAUAUUGCACAAUGGACGAAAGUCUGAUGCAGCAACGCCGCGUGGAGGAUGACACAUUUCGGUGCGUAAACUCCUUUUAUAUGAGAAGAUAAUGACGGCAUUAUAUGAAUAAGCACCGGCUAACUCCGUGCCAGCCGCCGCCGUAA